rnacentral:lncRNA from 1 species
CCAUAGCCCGAAACAAGUGCUUGUCCACCUUGAUAUCGAGCAGGUAAGGUAAAUCGUCAUAAUUUUGAUAGAACAACUACUUAGUCUAAUCAUCCCAACAGGCCCAUAUAUCCCUCAAUUCCCGGAACUCAUUUUGUGUCACAUUGAUACGGGUGAAGUCCCACAACUCCGAUGUAUAUCCCUUAGCUAGGCUAUCCCUUUUCUCAAGUUGCAUCUUCUCUGACUACAUAUGGACAGUCGCAUUUAGAGGUG